GCCCAGUUCUCUGGACUCUCUGGAGCCCCAGCUCAGGGGCAAGGGCCACGCACAGGUGGGAGGAGGUAGGGGACCCCACUGUGCUCCAUAAAAUGGCCCAUGCAAAUGCCACAUCCUCCCACCAGCCGGGGGCAGGAGGCUCUUGGUGGGGAAGUAAGGAUCAGGCCCAGAGAACUGGAAGGAAGAGCAUUCUCCCCUCCAAGGAGGUGACCGGAGCCCCAGUGGGAGAGCUGACUGCAUCCCCUCCUCAGGAGAGCAUUCCUGCUUUGCAGAGAUGGACACUAAAGCACGGAGGCUGUGACCCGGCCAGGGUCCCGGGGGGAGGAGGGCAGGGAGGGGCAGGAGCUGGGAUCUCAGGCAGCCAUCAAGGUGGGUGGGCCCACAAGAACCCAGACUUGAGAAAACUGGGGUGUCUCUCCAGGAAGUCAGCGUGGGGCUGUGCUUCCAAGGGCCGUCUGCCCCUCCCCAGCCUCUGGGGCCCCCUCCUCAGCAUGGGCCGUGCCUGCCUCCAGCCCUGGAGCAGGGAGUCCUCGCCCAGCCCAGGGCUGUGCUGUCUCUGUGGGCAGAGGGUUCCUGGCGUUAAACAGGGUGGGCACAUGCUGCACUUGGCCCGUGGGUCAGGGCGGAGGACAGGGUUCUGGGCUGUGGGAAAGGCGGUGCCCAGAUUCUCAAUGACCGAGGCAGAGGUGGGAAGGGCCCUGGGGGCCCAGCCGCCCUGAACGUGAGUGGGUCUUGCCCCAAAGCCCCAGAGGCCGCCUGUCUGCCUCUCCCAGGGAAGGAUGAGAAAUGCCCUCCAGACCUGCAGAGAAAGGGAGGCACGUUCCCCACCCCCCGCCAGGUGCACUGACCACACUGAAGGUCACCCGAAGGUCACAGCGUGAUGAGGGCGUCUCCAGAAGAGGCCCAGCUGCUGCCACCUCCCAGGGAAGCCCAGCCGUCCCUUCACCCCUGCAGUUCUCGGGGGGCUCAGCUGCUGGGCAUCAAGUUUGCAAAGAGCAGGUGGUCUGCCCCCCCAACCUCGCUAUUUGUGGCACUUACAUCCCGGCCGCCGCCUCCCUCUCCCGGGAUCAGCUGCGCCCUGGAGAACUGGGGGGCCCGCGCGCAAACCCAGUGACCUUCAAGGCCCGGAGCCGCCUCCUCGCCCCGCAGGACGCCGCGCCCGCCCCGCCCCGCCGGGAGCCCCCCGCCUUACGCGUCCUCCGGCCUCCCCGGGGCUGCGCGCUCCUCCGCGGGAUGACGGCGGCUGCGAACGCGGAGGAGAGCUCGGGAGUUUCCCACAAUGCACUACUCCCG
rnacentral:lncRNA from 1 species